GAGAGUGGGCACUGCGAGCGUGUCCGACACACACGCCGUGUGCAUGCUGAUGGGUGGGGUGCGGACAAAAGAGCUGCUCGCCUUGACCUGAUCCCCUCGGUCAGUUUUAAAAGGAGUGCACUCGUACCGUACUACUUACACCUCGCACAGAUAAAGUAUGGUCCCAGCCUUGUUUAGAUUUCAAUAAUUUCUGUUCUAUCGCAACACUGCUUCCAGUUUGCUGACUUCACGGAUCUAUCAAUUUUCGCCUAUGAUUGAGAGUUGUCAUUAAAAAUGACAUUAAUGUUUGGGACAUUGAUCGUUACACUGACUGAUAGGGUCGUUUCUUGGCACUUUCCAGAUGCGCAUGUUACUCCCUGCUUAUCAACCAAUGUCGGAAAGUUGUCUUGGUGUGGCUCUAUCCAGGCAUGGCUUACUUUAUUUUGAGGAACUGCAAGACAAGUUGGACAUUGACCAAUAUUCAGCAAGUCCCCACCUCUGACUUGAUGAUGGAAGUAAUGUGCUUCAGCCCAGAAUGCUGCUCCAAGAACCCACUGCACCAAAAGCCUAGUGGUGGAAUGAUUCAUCUCCAACAACCACAAACCACCAAAAAAUUCAGUAUUACUAUGAAUCCUUGAUACCAAAGUCUGCCUUAAGGUUGAGGGUGUAACUACUGCCUCACAUGUAAAAUUCUGUCACUUGGUCCAUGUUUUGACAAAGGCUAAAAUAAGGCCUUUUUGUCUAUUUGUACAUGUUUAGAAAACAAUUUCUAAAUUACAUUCUUGUAAAAGGAAUGCAGCCGUAAAGGAAUUAAGCCCUUAAUGGUGCAUGAAACAAAGUUUCUUUUCAUAUUCUCCUAAUCAACAAUUAAUCAUUGGAAAAUGUUUACAGAUUUUUUAAAAAUAAUUAUUCAGCAAUUUGAAAUUGCAAAUCUGGUUUUAUUGGACAUUUUAGUUUUCCAAAUUGUUAACUUUUUACAAAAUCUUUGAAAUAAAGAUUUUGAAAUAAAGAAAUAAAAUAAUCAUUUGAUUUAAAACAAUCAUAUGAAAAAAUAGUUUAGCUAGUGCUAACUAAUAACAGAAAAUAUAACCUUCUGUCCUGCGAAGAAAGGUGGCUGAUUUCAUUUUUAUAGGAUUGAUUUUGUCUAGUGGUGUAAUAAAACCAAUAUUGACUACAGCAUUCAGCCCAGAGCUAGUUUCCCCACAGGUGCCGAAUUGACCUCAGCUGUUCACUCUUUACAACGUACUCCGUCAUGUUUGGGUCAAUAGGUUACUGUUCCAUUUAACAAUUACAAUCAGUAUUACUGAAAUAUGGGGAGCUUUGUAUUAAAAAAAAACUAAUCUAAUAUCUCACAGUGCUGAGCGUCCCCCAGCACUUUACUUAGACCUGCCAGAAAGAAUGACCAACCUGCAUAGACCAACACAAGCACUGAGGGUGAAGACAAAUAAGGAGAGGCUUUUAAAAUAUAUUGAAGAGCAGGAGAUGAUCAGAGAGGCAGUAAUUCAAGAGUGACACAAUUUUGUUCAUGAAUGAUAACAAGGUGUAUCAACUAUUGUUCACAAAAAGUGAAAGUUUUCACUUUUCUGAAAUUGCUUCUGCUCCCUCUUUUGACUGCAAAUGUGCACAGAAUGGUUUAAAAGUUAAACUCUUAUAAAGCAUUACUAAUAAUUUCUCUUUUAUAAAGUAAAAUUGAUGAUUUAACUUAUUAAAAUAUCUGAGCAUUCCUUCCAUCAACGUCAUGCAGGUGACUUUAUAUCUGUUGCACUUUAUCCAAAUAUCCUUAUAUUUUCUAAACUUCCAAAUUAUGAAAGUCAGAAAUCAACUUUGGCUUAUAAUGAACAAGGAUACCAAAAGGAAUAACAAAAAAAAUCAUAUACUGUUUUCCUCUGAAGUAAUUUCAGAAUUAGAGUAAUAUAUAUUACUAUACAAGAGAAGACGUAUUUUUGAAGUCAGAAUUAUGCAGCGAGAAAUGAGCCUUUUGGCUCACCUUGGCCAUGCUGACACUUGCUCAUUUACAUGAAUCACAUUUACCCACACGAGGCUCAUAUUAAUUCUAUGUUUGACUGUUUCUUUCUGUCUAAAUGUCUCUUAAAUACGUUGAUUGUAUCUGACGUCAUCUCUGUGGCAACCACUUUCAGGUUUCAAGAUUCAAAGUACAUUUAUUAUCAGCCACAAAGCAAGAAACCUGAAAUAACCCGAUUAAAAAAAAAGACCAACACCCGAUGCGCAGAGAAAGAGAAAAAAAACAAAUCAAACAAACAAUAGAAGGGAAAAGCAGCAUUCCAAACCAAAUUGAGUCCUUGGAUCCAAAUCCCCGGAAUAGGCCCAGAGCCUCAGUCUCAGUUCAUGAUAUUGGCAGGCAAAUCGCCGCGAAGCUCGCAGACUCAGCGCAGCAGGUGGGGCAAUCUCACAGUCUCAGUGCAAAAUUGGCCCAACCAUUGCCUUCAGUCCUGACACCCUGCCUUUCUGGUCUACUUAGGCCAACAUUUGAAUUGUCUCAGCUAUAGAUUGUGCCUUGUAUUAGAAGCGGUGCUCUGCCACAGCAAUACGCUCUGGGCUUAGGCCUCACCAUCCAGCCCGAAGCUGUUCUUGACCUCUCGUAAUCGGUUUGGUGCUUAAGGUGAUCCAACCUUGCACCCGAGUUAGUUGGACAGGCUUCAAAGCUCCUCUGCUUCGACUCCUCCUCUCUGACUCCAACGCCAUCUUCGUACUCGUCUCGAACACGUUACGCUUCAGCUUUGCAUCACAUCAGCAUGGCUCAUCUUG